GCGGAUGUGGCGGAAUUGGCAGACGCACUAGACUUAGGAUCUAGCGCCAUUGGCGUGUCGUACCGGUUCGAUUCCGGUCUUCGGCAC
rnacentral:tRNA from 1 species